GUGCCAGCAGCCGCGGUAAUACGAAGGGGGCGAGCGUUGUUCGGAAUUACUGGGCGUAAAGGGCGCGUAGGCGGUUUAGCGAGUCAGGCGUGAAAUUCCCGGGCUUAACCUGGGGGCUGCGCUUGAUACUGCUAGGCUUGAAUUCGGGAGAGGAUGGCGGAAUUCCCAGUGUAGAGGUGAAAUUCGUAGAUAUUGGGAAGAACACCGGUGGCGAAGGCGGCCAUCUGGCCCGGGAUUGACGCUGAGGCGCGAAAGCGUGGGGAGCAAACAGGAUUAGAAACCCUCGUAGUCC
rnacentral:rRNA from 1 species